rnacentral:rRNA from 2 species
UGGGGGAUAUUGGACAAUGGGGGAAACCCUGAUCCAGCGACGCCGCGUGAGUGAAGAAGUAUUUCGGUAUGUAAAGCUCUAUCAGCAGGGAAGAAAAAUAACCAAAUUGACUGUACCUGACUAAGAAGCCCCGGCUAACUACGUGCCAGCAGCCGCGGUAAUACGUAGGGGGCAAGCGUUAUCCGGAUUUACUGGGUGUAAAGGGAGCGUAGGCGGCGGAGCAAGUCAGAUGUGAAAGCCCGGGGCUCAACCCCGGGACUGCAUUUGAAACUGUUCUGCUAGAGUAUCGGAGAGGUAAGUGGAAUUCCUAGUGUAGCGGUGAAAUGCGUAGAUAUUAGGAGGAACACCAGUGGCGAAGGCGGCUUACUGGACGAUAACUGACGCUGAGGCUCGAAAGCGUGGGGAGCAAACAGG